rnacentral:rRNA from 1 species
GAGCGGCAGCGCGGGGCAACCUGGCGGCGAGCGGCGAACGGGUGAGUAAUACAUCGGAACGUGCCCAGACGUGUUGGGAUAGCCCGGCGAAAGCCGGAUUAAUACCGCAUACGAUCUAAGGAUGAAAGCGGGGGAUCGCAAGACCUCGCGCGUUUGGAGCGGCUGAUGGCAGAUUAGGUAGUUGGUGGGGUAAAGGCUUACCAAGCCUGCGAUCUGUAGCUGGUCUGAGAGGAUGAUCAGCCACACUGGGACUGAGACACGGCCCAGACUCCUACGGGAGGCAGCAGUGGGGAAUUUUGGACAAUGGGCGCAAGCCUGAUCCAGCCAUUCCGCGUGCAGGACGAAGGCCCUCGGGUUGUAAACUGCUUUUGUACGGAACGAAAAGGCGUCUUCUAAUACAGGACGCUCAUGACGGUACCGUAAGAAUAAGCACCGGCUAACUACGUGCCAGCAGCCGCGGUAAUACGUAGGGUGCAAGCGUUAAUCGGAAUUACUGGGCGUAAAGCGUGCGCAGGCGGUUUUGUAAGACAGAGGUGAAAUCCCCGGGCUUAACCUGGGAAC